CCUACGGGGGGCUGCAGUGAGGAAUAUUGGUCAAUGGGCUUACGCCUGAACCAGCCAAGUCGCGUGAGGGAAGACUGCCCUAUGGGUUGUAAACCUCUUUUGUCAGGGAGCAACGCCGGCUACGUGUAGCCGGACUGAGAGUACCUGAAGAAAAAGCAUCGGCUAACUCCGUGCCAGCAGCCGCGGUAAUACGGAGGAUGCGAGCGUUAUCCGGAUUUACUGGGUGUAAAGGGAGCGUAGGCGGCAGGGCAAGCCUGAUGUGAAAGCCCGGGGCUCAACCCCGGGACUGCAUUGGGAACUGCCCCGCUCGAGUGCCGGAGGGGCAGGCGGAAUUCCUAGUGUAGCGGUGAAAUGCGUAGAUAUUAGGAGGAACACCAGUGGCGAAGGCGGCCUGCUGGACGGUGGACUGACGCUGAGGCUCGAAAGCGUGGGGAGCAAACAGGAUUAGAUACCCUUGUAGUC
rnacentral:rRNA from 1 species